rnacentral:rRNA from 1 species
UAGGGAAUCUUCGGCAAUGGGGGGAACCCUGACCGAGCAACGCCGCGUGAGUGAAGAAGGUUUUCGGAUCGUAAAGCUCUGUUGUUAAGGAAGAACGAGUGUGAGAAUGGAAAGUUCAUGCUGUGACGGUACUUAACCAGAAAGGGACGGCUAACUACGUGCCAGCAGCCGCGGUAAUACGUAGGUCCCGAGCGUUGUCCGGAUUUAUUGGGCGUAAAGCGAGCGCAGGCGGUCAAUUAAGUCUGAUGUGAAAGCCCCCGGCUCAACCGGGGAGGGUCAUUGGAAACUGGUUGACUUGAGUGCAGAAGAGGAGAGUGGAAUUCCAUGUGUAGCGGUGAAAUGCGUAGAUAUAUGGAGGAACACCAGUAGCGAAGGCGACUCUCUGGUCUGUAACUGACGCGGAGGCUCGAAAGCGUGGGUAGCAAACAGG